rnacentral:rRNA from 1 species
UACCUGCCCAGUGAUUCAACGGCCGCGGUAUCCUAACCGUGCAAAGGUAGCAUAAUCACUUGCCUAUUAAUUGUAGGCUAGAAUGAAGGGGUUAACGAAAUAAAAACUGUCUCAGUUAAUUACCUAAAAAUUAUUUUCUAUCUGAAGAAAGGUAGAUUAACUCGAAGGACAAGAAGACCCUAUAGAGCUUAAUUUUUCGGUUGGGGCGACCCAGGGCUAAAUAAUCACCCAUUUUAUAAAAGAUACAUUAAUCAAAUAAGUGACCCUUAAAGAUCACAAAACAAAGCUACCUUAGGGAUAACAGGCUAAUCCCACUUAAGAGUCCUUAUCAACAGUGGGGAUUGGCACCUCGAUGUUGGCUUAGGGUAUCUAUAUAGCGCAAAAGUUAUAUAAAGAUGGUUUGUUCAACCAAU